CCCUGAGAGCGUGAAGCAGUCAUGUCAACACAGAGACAGCAACAGUUGCUCACGGGUGGAAGCUUGGGCUCAUAUGGAAAGUCCCUGACUCACUUCCAAAGGGCACAGAUACUAUGUACUUCCUUCGCUGAACCUGCUGGAUCUCAAGAUUAUGAAAUAUUACAGAAAGAAAGAAAAAAUUCUGGGAAUCAAGUAGUUCACCAAUACAUCUCACAGAAACAAAAUGAACAAUUGCUCAAUGGAAUAAAAGAGUCAAAAAUCUCAUAAUAAAGAAUAAACCUUUUGGCAAUUAAAACUUACUAUGACUUUUGGAGAUAUAAACUUCUUGAACUCUUACUCAGUGCUGGGGAAUUCAUUUUUGCUAGAUAUGCAGGACUCUGUUAACAUAGGCUACCAGCCAGCACUUACAUGAACUCUUUGUUAUGAUAAACUUUUUACUGCAAUGGUGCAUGUAGGAGGGAUUUGACCUGCAUAUGCCCUGAGAAUUCUUUUCCAGAAUAUAACUUACUUUGACAAGGCAUUUAAAAACAUGGGUAUACUUUAAAUAAAGAUGCCUUCAGACUUCAGUAUCCUGUGCCCUUUAAAAUCACAACCACUCAAAGAAAUAAUUGUUUGAUUUCAAAAUAAAAUAAGUAUAAAGACAUACUUACUAAUGAUAUGAAUAAAAUAAUUACUAUUAACUAAUCAUAGUGUUUAUUAGAUAUGAUGCCAAAAAUCGACGUUGAAGAUCUCUUUCUUGGUACAAAUGUUACCUGAAAACAUACAUACUUUUGUAUAUAUCCUAUAUGUUUACUUUUCAAUUCUUGUGAAGUUAGACCACAGGGACAUCUAAUUCUGUAAUCUUAUAGUUCUAAAUCUGGACAUAAGAGGAACAAGAAUGUUCAACUAAAACUUCUUUAAUAUUAUGCUUAAGAUUUUAGUAAAAUGUAGUAAGAGUGGUAUGUGAACUCUGAAUGAGUUCUAUAUGAGCACUAAGAACAAGCAAAAUUUACUGAUUGGCACCAAUUAUGUAAAGGAUGCUGCUGUAGGUGCUUCUUUGGCUUGGGCUUGAAGUGAGAUGCUAUAUGUAGGUAUAAAUAUGACUAUAGAUUCAAGAGAUUCCAUUAUAACUCAAAACAUGCGAAGCAUCACAAAGCAUCAUGGGUGAUGCAUUCGUCACGUCUUAAGCUAGCUCUCAUGUUACACACAUGUGCAUUUUAUCUAUGAUAACAUUAGCAACAUUUUUAUCUGGGUUAAAACUCCAGCAUUAAAAUCAUUACUCAUCAUUUCUCACAAAAUAUUGACCCUUCCCACUCCCAGCAGCACCACAACACACCAUUUUUGGAAAUAAGAGAGAUGGUGAUAGAGUACUAUAUUCUUAUCCUAUAAACCUUUGAAAAACUUUGUUGGAAUAAUCAAUACUGCUUUUAGUCAAAUAUUCCCAGCUUAUCUUUUUCAGGUACCUGGUAGGAUUCCUCCCUUCCUUUGAAAUUCUCUAUUCUGGGAAUCGAAUUUGACUUUUUAAUUUGUUUUGGCCAGCAAAAUGUGUGAAGUGCUGUUAGUAGCUGUAGAGAGAAGCUUUUAAAGCUAAUUUGUAACUAAUCAUUCUCUCUCUCCCUCUGGCAUGAUAACAGGCACUAUUAAAACACUGACCACACCAUCAGUCUGGACCCUUUACUGACCACAAUGAACAGAGACCUCUGCCAACCAUGAUAUAAGAAGGUAGAAAUAGAAAUAAGGCAUGACUGAGAAACAAACCUGCGUUAUUUUAGGUCAUGAAGACUUUUGCAUUUUAAUACUGCAUCACACGUUAGCCUAUCCUGAUACAAGUGGGAAUGUUAACUUACUGCUCUGGGACUGAACUGUCAUGCAAAACCUGAGCCAACAAUCACAGUCGAAUAUUAAUUUAAGAUCUAUAUUCCUUGUACUUAUUCAUUCAGGAAACAUUGGAGGGUUAGGAUAACAUUGAUACCUUUGCUAGACUUGGGAGUAUAAAGAUGAAUUAGUUGUGGUCCUUGACCUCAGUAACCUUAUAUUCUAAUGCGAAUUUCUGAGAUGUAAUUAAAUAAAAUAAUAAGAAAUUUAUUUUGCAGUGGGUUCCCAUUAGUCUGAUUUUGCAGGUAGUCAAGCUUUCCAUGGCAACCAUUGCUCUAAGGACAUUAUUCUAAGCUGAGAAAACACCCUUUGCAAAGAAUGAAAUUAUAAAAAGCUAUUUAGAUUAUGAUGAUAAUCUUACUGCAGCUGAGGUGCAUGUCUAUAUUAAUUAGAAUAUGUAUGUCCAAGGAGAGAGAAGAAUUCCAAGUUGAUUUUUAUAUUUUCCCCACUUUAGUUAGCAAAAUAACAAAAUAUUUAGAGUUUGUGCUAAGCACCAUCAGGGUAAUUCCAAUCUAUAGCUUAUAUUGAGACAGGAUUCCUGUAGAAAUAAUUCAAAAGCAUAUUUUCCCUUGUUAUAUUUAUUAUGGUUUCAGAAGAAUUUGGAUGUGCAUGGCUGAAUAACUUUACAGCUUAAUUUAUUGAAUAGUUUUGAAUAUUUGAAAGUGUGUACUUUUCCCUUUAUUCAGUUAUGAGAACCGAAUUUAGCAUUUUGUAAAAAACUUUCAACAAAAAAAGUCUUUAUUAUCCUACGUUGCCGCUUAACAAAGUCCAUGUGGAAAUUCUGCUUGAUACCAGGUGGCCUGUCUUCUCAGGAAGUGCAUUUUCACAAAAAGGGGUUGUCAGGAAAAGGUGUCAUAUAUUCAUUGGGUAGCUUUAUUGUAUUUAAUUUUUUUCUUUAUUUUUAUUCAAAC
ensembl:lncRNA